UACGUAGGUGGCAAGCGUUGUCCGGAUUUAUUGGGUUUAAAGGGUGCGUAGGCGGCUUAUUAAGUCAGUGGUGAAGUACUCUAGCUCAACUAGAGGGGUGCCAUUGAUACUGAUGAGCUUGAGUACAGAUGAGGUAGGCGGAAUUGACGGUGUAGCGGUGAAAUGCUUAGAUAUCGUCAAGAACACCUAUAGCGAAGGCAGCUUACUAGGCUGUAACUGACGCUGAGGCACGAAAGUGUGGGGAUCAAACAGG
rnacentral:rRNA from 1 species